CAUGUACAAGUAUGGGGACAGAGUAGUAAACAACAAAUAAAGGAUACUAGACGGAUAUACUAGACGGAUGCAUGGAGCAUGAACUCCUCUUUUUCAGGGGCCACCUUACUCGUGUGCCCUCAGGCUGAGGAGACCUUUCUAAGGUACGUACUACUUCCUUGCUGAUUUCAACCAAGAAAGAAUGUUAUUUUGUUCAAUAUAAUUAGUGGUGUGUGACAUUAGGAUCUCGUGUUUGAUCUACAUUUCUUUAUUCACUGAAUUUGUAGACCACUUGCGAGUCAGUACCUAGGAAAAUAAACAUUUUUCUACCUCAAAUUUGCAGAUCAAUCCUUGCCUAAAUAUUUCCCUGGGCCGAAUACACUUCUUAUCCCAAAGUGAUAAACAUGCCUACGUUAGCAUCACGACACACAUAGCACUAGCAAACAGUUCUGCAUGAAAUCCUGGAAGCAUUUCAUUUCCUCAGCAAUUAUUUUUUUCAAAUCUUUCAACAACAAGCUGACUGUUCAUGUCCUUAAUUAAUCUAAACCUAUAUCCCUUGUUAAAUCUAAAGACAUGUUUGCAUAAUUUUGUGAGUUUUUUCCCAUGCUUUUGUAACAUCCCAAUUUUUAUUAAAUUCGGAUGUUAAUAGAAUCAUUCAAUGCAUAUCAUAUUUCUUUGCAUUUUUGGAGUUUUUAAAAAAUAUUCAAAUAAUACUUUCCACUCGAGAAAAACAAAUGAGAGGGGAUAAGAUGACUUCCUCAAAAUAUAAAAGAGUGGGAAAUUUUAUUUUGAAUAUUAUUUGAAGUUUUGGAGUUUAUUUGGUAUUUUUUUUAUCUGCAAAAAGUGCAUUAAUUGCAUUAGGAAAUAUUUUCAAAAUGUUCUGUGCUUAAGUUAAUGUUCAUUAGGCUUUAAAUAUUGCAUAGUUAUUUUAUAAAUUAUUGUGGUGUUUUUAUUAAUUCUUUUGAAUUAAUUAUGACCACUUUAGUGUUCUGUUUAAAAAAAAAAGCACACGCACGCACUCACCCGCCUGGACCGAAACCAGUUCGGCCCAGGGACGCGCGCGCCUAGCCAGCGCGCCAGGCCAGCCAGCCCACUGGCCAUUCGGCCCCAGGCCAGCCCCAGCGCCCAACGCCUUCCGCCCGGUCGACCGCCCGCGCCCGCCCUCGCUCGCUGCCGCCGCCGCCACUGACUGGUGGGCCCCGCUCCACCCCAUCNNNNNNNNNNNNNNNNNNNNNNNNNNNNNNNNNNNNNNNNNNNNNNNNNNNNNNNNNNNNNNNNNNNNNNNNNNNNNNNNNNNNNNNNNNNNNNNNNNNNNNNNNNNNNNNNNNNNNNNNNNNNNNNNNNNNNNNNNNNNNNNNNNNNNNNNNNNNNNNNNNNNNNNNNNNNNNNNNNNNNNNNNNNNNNNNNNNNNCCGCCGCCGCCACUGACUGGUGGGCCCCGCUCCACCUCAUCUUCCCCAACCUCCCGCUUCUCCCGCAGGAUGAGCACGCGCACGCACUCCCGAACCCGCCGGCCGAAGCUCUCGGGAUAGAGCUUAUCCCGCUGCUCCCCGACGCCCUCCCCUCGCCUAUAUAAAGGCCAAGACCCCCUCUUCCAUCCUCGCCGUCCCGCAUCUUCCCACGCCGCCCCUACCGCUCGUCGUCGCCGUUCGCAUCUCGCCGGAGCUCCGAGCCCCGCCGUCCUCGCCCCGCCCCGUCCGGACGUCGCCGACGCACGCCGCCACCACCUUCGCGACGCCCUCGACGCGCCGCACCUCCCCGUCUUCUUCCCCGACGCCGAGGACCGCCGUAGCCGCCGUCCCCUCCGCCACCGACGCCGCGCCGCCGUCUUCGUCAUCGCCGGCCACCACCUCCAGCCCACUGUAAGCCGCCGCCCCACCCUCGCCCGUUAGAUCGGACCCCAACGGUCCAGAUUAGAUUAGGUUCGGUUUUUUUUAUUUUGCGAAGAGGUACGCGGUUAACCGCGGUUCCCUUAGACCGGCCGGUUUUAUUUAAACCGAGCGUCGGUUUUUCUUUAGUUAGCCGCCGCCACUGUUUUCCUUAUUUAGCGGCCGUUCGCCGUAUAACCUCCGCAGCGGACGCUGCUCGGCCAGCCACGAGCCACCACGUGGCCAGGGACUUGUUUGCGAUGGUUUUCUUCUCUGUUUAGUCCCUGUAAUUAGCAGAUUAGUCCCUAAACUUCGCGUAGCCACAACUUUUUAACCGUAGAUCCAAACUCGAUGAAACCAGCGGCAAAUCCUUCGUAUUGUUUAGAUCUAUCCAGUGGUAUCCUUUUUGCAAACUUUUGACAGAUUCAAAUUUGAAUUUAUUCAGAUUUGAAUUCGAACUUCAAAUGGCCAUAUCUCCCAAACCGUAACUCCGAUUAAGUUGAUUCUUUUUGCACUUUGUCACUGUAGCCAAACCCUAUCACCUGGACCUUUGUCACAAUAAUUUUCACACACUAGAAUCUGCCCAUUAAUAUUUUUACUAGUAUGCAUAGUACGCACUAUAGUUCACAUCACUCUUUGAACCAUAGGCCUAUGUUGUUUUGCAUCUAGAAAUAUUUUUCAUGCUAGUUAAGUGUGAUGUUUGUUCAUUUGGUUUUUCCGAGACUUUUGCUUUGCAUGUUCUUCUUGGUUCUCUUGAAUGUUUGUUUAUGUUUGUUUAUCUCCUUUGCGAUAGAUUGCCCGGAGUGCGAAGCAGAAUAUUUUCAGUCUUUAGAGUUCAACCAGCAGUACCAAGGCAAGUUGCAUCUUGAUCAUGUUUCCUUACCUAUGUUUUUUUUAUGCACUUAGUUCUUUGCGGUAGGACUGCAUGGUAGGAAUUGAUGCCGCAUGACUAUGCUUUUCACCCAGUAGUUCAUUGAGGUAGGUCUGAACCAUAUGACAUUGUCGCCAUCGUUUUACAUUAUGUUGCUUCGCUAAGUAGACGUGGAUUGGGGAGUGAACAUUGUAAAGUAUGAGUAACAAUGUAGUAAGUAGGACCUAAGAUAAUUAAUGAACUACCUGGGCGGAAACUUGAUGGAAUGGUGGCGAAGUACAGUGGGGCACGCAUGGGAAAUCCAUGGUGGUGCACCACUAGUGGACCGUCCGCUCAGGCUCAAAGAGAUCAAUCAUAUUCUCAUGUCUAGAAGCUUACGUGUGCAGCCACAAGCCAAUAUGGGCUCUGGCUUAGUUGAGUAGUUAGUGUGACCCCUUCCGGGAUGGGCUAGCAGAUGUAGAAGGAUGUAGGUGUACCGGCCUAUCCGUGGGUUAAGGGGGAGCAUUUUCGAAAGACUAUGUCUCGAUCUUCCGAUCAUGGAGGUGGUCGAGUCUUGUGGGGAAAAGUGCGCAACCUCUGCAGAGUGUCAACCUAAUCGAUUAGCCGUGUCCCCGGUUACGGACAUCUUGAGCUUCUAGUAGUGAAAAUGCUGGGAGAUCUCCUCACCUUUAAUUAAACAGUUGGGAUUUAAAUGAAACUUGGGAUCGGAUGGAGUUGGGUUUGCCAACUCAUCCUAUGCAAAUGUGUAGUAGUAGAAUAACAUCUUUUCUAAUAGGGAAAAACUAGCUUUAUGCAAAAAAUUAAACUUAGAGCUUUCCACCAGCCAAAUUGCAUGUACAAGUAGGUUCAUUACACUUAUGAUGUGACUUGCCAGUACAUUCAAUGUACUGACCUAUAUGGCUGCAACUUAUCACGUUGCAGAUAUAUCCGACGAGGAUUAAGGUGCUAUAGGUCGAUGUUCUACACUCAACCUUGCUCGUGGAGUUGGACUCAUUUACUACUUUGCUUCUGCAGUAUUUGUUUAUUGGCUCUAUGCCCUAUUUGGUAAUAAAUGUAUUGCUCCUGGACUAUCGAUGUAAUAAAGAGAUGUGUGUUAUUUCUGUUAUUUCAUCGAGUACUGUGUGUGCUAGCAAGUCGAUCCAGGGACUAGCACGGUAAGCACAGAGACUUUGACUCUUACCGAGUCGGGUCGCUACAAGAUGGUAUCAGAGCACAUGUUGACUGUAGGACGCGACCCCUAGAAAAUGGAAAAGCCAUAGGAUAAAACUUUAUUUUUCAUUUUCCCUAUAUAUCCUUUGGUCUCGUACCUUCUUUACUUCUGUACUAAUUUCUUCCCUCUUUCAAAAUUUAGAUGUCGUCCGCCAUUGUCGAGUUUGAGCAGCCCGAUGGGACCAUGCCUUUUGGACGGCAGCUGGUGAAGAUCGUGAAGCACCUGAAGAUUGGGCUUCCCACAUUCACUGGAACCUUCACCGCCACCCUGCCCGAGGAGACAUGUUGGAGGAUCGAUGCCCAUAUCCCUAGACGCAUCCUCGGAAACCGCACCAAGCCCAUUGAUUUCCAUGUGGAUACUGCAACAUGGGGCUUGGGCAGGGGCAUCGCUGCUCACAUUGCUCUCGGACGCAUUCGGGAGGAGUAUGACGAAGACCUCAAGAGGACCUCCUUCGUGAUGUACGGACGCCGUGACGCAAAAGGAGAUGUGGUGCGUACCCUGGAGGACGAGACGAUAGCAUCCCAUAUCCAGGACAUGGAGGAUCACAUUCAUAUGAUGGAGCUGGAGCUGUCUGACAACAUGAUCGUCAUCAAGAACCUCAUGACUCGCAAGGCCGAUCUCGAGGAGGAACUCCAAGACGCUCGCAUCGAGCAUGAGGGAGAGCUGGACGCACUACAGGAGAAGAUCGACGAUCUGAAGCUUGAGCUUGAGGAGGCCGAGGAGAAGCUGGAUGAGGGAGAAAACAUUCAGGAGGAUCACUCGUAUGGUGCCUAUGUCAGCCAGGACAAGGACCAGGGUGAUGAGCUUAGAGAUGAUGACACCGACAGUGAUGCAAGGACACCUGAUGUCAACAUGGUUGACUGGUCUUCAUCCGACGAGAGUUAGAUUUUAUACCACCAAGAGAGUUAGAAAUUUGAUUUCAUUAUCCGAUUAGUUUUAUUUCAUUUGUGAGACCUUGUCAAAUCUUGUGACAUGGCUUACCUUAGGUUUGAUUGUUCAUGUGAACCCCUUUGAGUGAAAUUGAAUUGGAGUGAUUUGAAGUUUUAUUGCUAUCAUGUGCAUAUGGGUAGUAUGAUUUUACUCCCUAGGCCUUAUUCUAUUCUGACUUCUCAUCCACUCUAAACCCAUCAGAUGCCUCCAAGACGUGACCCCGAAUUCAACUUUCCGCCGGAGCUCACGCAAUUGAUCCAGCAGCAGAAUGCUCUUAUGCAGAUGCUCAUUCAGAACCAGAACCAGAACAACAACAACCCACCGCCGCCACCCUCAGUUGAUAGUCUUACCCGUUUUCUGAGGCUGAAACCACCCGUGUUCUCCAGCAGCACGGAGCCAAUCGUCGCAGAUGACUGGCUCCGCAAGAUAGGAAGGGAGCUAGCCACGGCAGGAUGCAAUGAUGCUGAGAAGGUGAAGUUUGCCUCCCAUCAGCUGGAUGGCCCGGCCGCUGCUUGGUGGGAGAACUACACCACCACAUACCCCUUGGAGAAUGUGACUUGGACUCAGUUCCAGCAGGCAUUCCGCACUGCUCAUGUCUCAGCUGGAGCCAUGAGUCUGAAGAAGAAGGAGUUCCGCAGCUUGCGCCAGGGAGGACGCACGGUAUCCCAGUAUGCUGAGGAGUUCAGUAAGUUGGCCCGUUAUGCACCAGGGGACGUGGCCACUGAUGCAGCCAAGCAGGAGAAGUUUCUGGAGGGACUAAACGAUGAGUUGGGAGUUCAGUUGACUGUGGUGACCUUUGCGAACUAUCAGGAGUUGGUUGAUAAGGCUACCAUUCUCGAGGGCAAGCACCAGCAGAUGGAGAAUCGUAAGAGAAAGUACGGUCAUGGGAAGUAUAACUCCGGAGUUCAACAAAAACCCCGCUAUAACCAGUACUCAGGAAGUUCUGGAUCAGGAACUAGCAAGUUUGGAGGGAAUCAUCAUAACCAUGGAGGCCACAUUCAGCAUGGAGGAAAUGGACACAACCACCAUGGUCACAAGCAUGGAAAUGGCAAUGGAGGGAAUGGCAACCAGCAGCAUUUCAACUCUUCUACACCAAUGAAGAAAGAUCUGAGUCACAUCACUUGCUUCAAAUGCAAGAAGACAGGGCACUACUCCAAUGAGUGUCCUGAGGCGCAGAAUGGAAAUGGAAAUGGCAAUGGGAAUUCUGGAGGCAAGAAGCCUAAUCCUUUCACUAAGGGGCAUGUGAAUCAUGUCAAUGUGGAAGAGGUCUAUGAACAGCCUGACGCAGUGAUUGGUAAGUUCUUGGUUAAUUUAUUUCCAACACUCAUUCUUUUUGACACUGGUGCAUCGCAUUCAUUCAUAUCGAGGGGAUUCGUGGAUAGACAUAAGUUGCCUACCGUAGCUCUUAAGGCACCCAUUCUAGUGAGUUCCCCAGGAGCCGAGUCUAUGGCUAGUCAGGGAUGUUUCCAGUUGCCUUUGAACAUAGGGGGACAUGUUUUCCCUACGGAUAUGAUCAUACUAGAGUCACAAGGGUUGGAUGUAAUCCUAGGGAUGGAUUGGAUGUCCAAGUAUGAGGGGACCAUCGAUUGUGCUAGUAGAUCGAUUUUUCUCACCACCCCAGAGAAGAAGAGGAUCAAGUAUGUAUCCAGGCUUAAGCCUAAGAGGACUCAGGUGAACUCUCUUACGGGAGUUGUCCAGGAAGAAGUACCAGUGGUGAAGGAUUAUCCCGAUGUAUUUCCGGAGGAGUUACCAGGUAUGCCGCCAGAUCGGGAGAUUGAGUUUUUAAUUGAGUUGCUGCCAGGUACAGGACCUAUCUCCAAGAGGCCGUAUCGGAUGCCCGCUAAUGAUUUGGAGGAAGUCAAGAAACAGAUUAAGGAGUUGCUAGAGAAAGGGUAUAUUCGCCCGAGUUCAUCACCUUGGGGAGCCCCAGUACUCUUAGUAGAGAAGAAGGAUGGAACCUUGAGGAUGUGUGUGGAUUACCGCUCUUUGAACGAGGUGACCAUCAAGAACAAGUAUCCCCUACCAAUGAUCAAUGACUUGUUUGACCAGCUAGAAGGAGCUAGUGUUUUCUCCAAGAUCGAUCUUCGAUCGGGUUAUCACCAAUUGAAGAUCCGUGAGAAGGAUAUACCCAAGACAGCUUUUACUACAAGGUAUGGGCUUUAUGAGUAUACAGUCAUGUCCUUUGGUUUGACUAAUGCCCCUGCCUAUUUUAUGAGCAUGAUGAACAAGGUGUUCAUGGAGUUCUUGGAUAAGUUCGUUGUGGUAUUCAUUGAUGACAUAUUGGUUUUCUCCAAGAAUGAGGAGGAACACACUGAACAUCUGCGCUUGGUUCUGGAGAAGCUCAGAGAACAUCAACUUUAUGCCAAGUUCAGCAAGUGUGAGUUUUGGCUCAAGGAAGUCGGAUUCCUUGGACAUGUUGUGUCAGGUGAAGGGAUUGCAGUGGACCCUACCAAGGUAGAGUCAGUCACAGAAUGGAAUGCACCCACCACAGUUGGCGAGAUUCGCAGUUUCCUUGGACUUGCAGGAUAUUAUCGGAGAUUUAUUGAAAAUUUCUCUAAGAUUGCAAGGCCCAUGACAACGUUGUUGAAGAAGGACACCAAGUUCGUUUGGACUGAAGAGUGUGAAGCCAGCUUUCAAGAGUUGAAGAAGCGUUUGGUUACAGCCCCAGUGCUAAUCCUACCUGACGUACACAAGGACUUUCAGGUGUAUUGUGAUGCUUCACGUCAGGGACUUGGAGGUGUUCUUAUGAAGGAGGGAAAAGUUGUAGCUUAUGCUUCACGACAGCUUCGACCUCAUGAGUUGAACUAUGCCACGCAUGACUUGGAGUUAGCAGCCGUUGUGCAUGCACUCAAGACAUGGAGACACUAUCUUAUUGGGAAUCGUUGUGAUGUUUACACGGAUCACAAGAGUUUGAAGUACAUUUUCACGCAGAAGGAGUUGAAUCUCAGGCAAAGGAGAUGGUUGGAACUUAUAAAGGAUUAUGACAUGAGUCUGCAUUAUCAUCCAGGAAAAGCCAAUGUUGUGGCGGAUGCUUUGAGCCAUAAGAGUUACGUUAACACCCUUACAGCAGGAGAUUUACCUCAGGAGUUAUGUGAUGAGCUUAGAGACCUUCAGUUAGAAAUAGUUCCAAGAGGUUAUGUUGCCGCACUCGAGGUACAGUCCACCUUGUUGGGAAGAAUCAGAGAAGCCCAGAAGUUGGACCAAGGUAUUGCUGAGAUAAAGGAAAUGAUGAGAAAAGGGAAAGCAAAAGGAUUCCGUGAGGAUGAAAAUGGAACCAUAUGGUUUGAGCAAUGGAUUUGUGUACCCAAUGAUCCAGAGAUCAGGAAGUUGAUUCUUCAGGAGACUCAUGACUCACCAUAUUCGAUACACCCAGGCAACACCAAGAUGUAUUUGGACUUGAAGGAAAGUUUUUGGUGGGCCGGAAUGAAGAGAGAGAUUGCCGAGUAUGUGGCAAUAUGUGAUGUAUGUUAGAGAGUAAAGGCAGAGCAUCAGAAACCAGCAGGUUUACUUCAGCCGUUGCCAAUACCUGAUUGGAAAUGGGAUAAACUUGGUAUGGACUUUAUCACGGGGUUACCUAGGACCCGUUCAGGUUAUGAUUCCAUUUGGGUGAUAGUGGAUCGUUUGACCAAGGUUGCUCACUUCAUUCCAGUGAAGACCACCUAUACAAGUGCUAAGCUGGCAAAGAUAUAUAUGACCAGGAUUGUAUGUCUGCAUGGAGUUCCGAGGAGCAUCGUAUCAGAUAGAGGAACACAGUUUACCUCAAAGUUUUGGAAUCAGUUGCAUGAAACUUUGGGUACCAGGCUAGAGUUUAGUACAGCCUUCCAUCCACAGACUGAUGGGCAGACAGAGAGAGUCAAUCAGAUUCUGGAGGACAUGCUGAGAGCUUGUGCGCUAGACUAUGGGUCUAGUUGGGAUGAUAACUUACCCUACGCAGAGUUCUCGUACAACAACAGCUACCAAGCCAGUUUGCAGAUGGCCCCUUUCGAGGCAUUGUAUGGCAGGAAAUGCAGGACACCUUUGAUGUGGAAUGGAGUUGGAGAUCGCAAAUUAUUUGGACCUGAUUUGAUCAGGGAUUCAGAGGAGAAGGUCAAGUUGAUUCGUGACAGACUUAAGAUAGCCCAGUCAAGGCAGAAAAGCUAUGCUGAUGCUAAACGCAAGGAAGUGAUCUAUGAAGUGGGAGAUAGAGCAUAUCUUCGAGUGUCUCCACUUCAAGGUAUUAAGAGAUUUGAAGUCAAAGGAAAGUUAGCACCACGAUUUGUGGGACCAUAUAGAGUUCUGGAACGCAGAGGAGAGUUUGCAUACCAGUUGGAAUUACCAGAGGCUUUGACAGGAGUUCAUGAUGUGUUCCAUGUUUCCCAGCUGAAGAAGUGUCAUGCAGAGAUGGCGGAUAUUCCUUUGAGGGAUACAGUGCCACUCGAGGCAAUUUAGUUAGAGAGCGAUCUGACUUAUGAGGAGAAGCCUAUUAAGAUUCUUGAGACUACAGAGAGGAUCACUCGAACCAAGAUCAUCAGGUUCUGCAAAGUUCAGUGGAGUCACCACACCGAGGAGGAAGCUACCUGGGAAAGAGAAGAAGAUCUCAGGCAGGACCAUCCACACCUUUUUGCUGGCCAACCCGAAUCUCGAGGACGAGAUUCAUCUUAAGGGGGGUAGGUUUGUAACAUCCCAAUUUUUAUUAAAUUCGGAUGUUAAUAGAAUCAUUCAAUGCAUAUCAUAUUUCUUUGCAUUUUUGGAGUUUUUAAAAAAUAUUCAAAUAAUAUUUUCCACUCGAGAAAAACAAAUGAGAGGGGAUAAGAUGACUUCCUCAAAAUAUAAAAGAGUGGGAAAUUUUAUUUUGAAUAUUAUUUGAAGUUUUGGAGUUUAUUUGGUUUUUUUUAUCUGCAAAAAGUGCAUUAAUUGCAUUAGGAAAUAUUUUCAAAAUGUUCUGUGCUUAAGUUAAUGUUCAUUAGGCUUUAAAUAUUGCAUAGUUAUUUUAUAAAUUAUUGUGGUGUUUUUAUUAAUUCUUUUGAAUUAAUUAUGACCACUUUAGUGUUCUGUUUAAAAAAAAAGCACACGCACGCACUCACCCGCCUGGACCGAAACCAGUUCGGCCCAGGGACGCGCGCGCCUAGCCAGCGCGCCAGGCCAGCCAGCCCACUGGCCAUUCGGCCCCAGGCCAGCCCCAGCGCCCGACGCCUUCCGCCCGGUCGACCGCCCGNNNNNNNNNNNNNNNNNNNNNNNNNNNNNNNNNNNNNNNNNNNNNNNNNNNNNNNNNNNNNNNNNNNNNNNNNNNNNNNNNNNNNNNNNNNNNNNNNNNNNNNNNNNNNNNNNNNNNNNNNNNNNNNNNNNNNNNNNNNNNNNNNNNNNNNNNNNNNNNNNNNNNNNNNNNNNNNNNNNNNNNNNNNNNNNNNNNNNNNNNNNNNNNNNNNNNNNNNNNNNNNNNNNNNNNNNNNNNNNNNNNNNNNNNNNNNNNNNNNNNNNNNNNNNNNNNNNNNNNNNNNNNNNNNNNNNNNNNNNNNNNNNNNNNNNNNNNNNNNNNNNNNNNNNNCGCUCGCUGCCGCCGCCGCCACUAACUGGUGGGCCCCGCUCCACCCCAUCUUCCCCAACCUCCCGCUUCUCCCGCAGGAUGAGCACGCGCACGCACUCCCGAACCCGCCGGCCGAAGCUCUCGGGAUAGAGCUUAUCCCGCUGCUCCCCGACGCCCUCCCCUCGCCUAUAUAAAGGCCAAGACCCCCUCUUCCAUCCUCGCCGUCCCGCAUCUUCCCACGCCGUCCCUACCGCUCAUCGUCGCCGUUUGCAUCUCGCCGGAGCUCCGAGCCCCGCCGUCCUCGCCCCGCCCCGUCCGGACAUCGCCGACGCAUGCCGCCACCACCUUCGCGACGCCCUCGACGCGCCGCACCUCCCCGUCUUCUUCCCCGACGCCGAGGACCGCCGUAGCCGCCGUCCCCUCCGCCACCGACGCCGCGCCGCCGUCUUCGUCAUCGCCGGCCACCACCUCCAGCCCACUGUAAGCCCCCGCCCCACCCUCGCCCGUUAGAUCGGACCCCAACGGUCCAGAUUAGAUUAGGUUCGGUUUUUUUUAUUUUGCGAAGAGGUACGCGGUUAACCGCGGUUCCCUUAGACCGGCCGGUUUUAUUUAAACCGAGCGUCGGUUUUUCUUUAGUUAGCCGCCGCCACUGUUUUCCUUAUUUAGCGGCCGUUCGCCGUAUAACCUCCGCAGCGGACGCUGCUCGGCCAGCCACGAGCCACCACGUGGCCAGGGACUUGUUUGCGAUGGUUUUCUUCUCUGUUUAGUCCCUGUAAUUAGCAGAUUAGUCCCUAAACUUCGCGUAGCCACAACUUUUUAACCGUAGAUCCAAACUCGAUGAAACCAGCGGCAAAUCCUUCGUAUUGUUUAGAUCUAUCCAGUGGUAUCCUUUUUGCAAACUUUUGACAGAUUCAAAUUUGAAUUUAUUCAGAUUUGAAUUCGAACUUCAAAUGGCCAUAUCUCUCAAACCGUAACUCCGAUUAAGUUGAUUCUUUUUGCACUUUGUCACCGUAGCCAAACCCUAUCACCUGGACCUUUGUCACAAUAAUUUUCACACACUAGAAUCUGCCCAUUAAUAUUUUUACUAGUAUGCAUAGUACGCACUAUAGUUCACAUCACUCUUUGAACCAUAGGCCUAUGUUGUUUUGCAUCUAGAAAUAUUUUUCAUGCUAGUUAAGUGUGAUGUUUGUUCAUUUGGUUUUUUCGAGACUUUUGCUUUGCAUGUUCUUCUUGGUUCUCUUGAAUGUUUGUUUAUGUUUGUUUAUCUCCUUUGCGAUAGAUUGCCCGGAGUGCGAAGCAGAAUAUUUUCAGUCUUUAGAGUUCAACCAGCAGUACCAAGGCAAGUUGCAUCUUGAUCAUGUUUCCUUACCUAUGUUUUUUUAUGCACUUAGUUCUUUGCGGUAGGACUGCAUGGUAGGAAUUGAUGCCGCAUGACUAUGCUUUUCACCCAGUAGUUCAUUGAGGUAGGUCUGAACCAUAUGACAUUGUCGCCAUCGUUUUACAUUAUGUUGCUUCGCUAAGUAGACGUGGAUUGGGGAGUGAACAUUGUAAAGUAUGAGUAACAAUGUAGUAAGUAGGACCUAAGAUAAUUAAUGAACUACCUGGGCGGAAACUUGAUGGAAUGGUGGCGAAGUACAGUGGGGCACGCAUGGGAAAUCCAUGGUGGUGCACCACUAGUGGACUGUCCGCUCAGGCUCAAAGAGAUCAAUCGUAUUCUCAUGUCUAGAAGCUUACGUGUGCAGCCACAAGCCAAUAUGGGCUCUGGCUUAGUUGAGUAGUUAGUGUGACCCCUUCCGGGAUGGGCUAGCAGAUGUAGAAGGAUGUAGGUGUACCGGCCUAUCCGUGGGUUAAGGGGGAGCAUUUUCGAAAGACUAUGUCUCGAUCUUCCGAUCAUGGAGGUGGUCGAGUCUUGUGGGGAAAAGUGCGCAACCUCUGCAGAGUGUCAACCUAAUCGAUUAGCCGUGUCCCCGGUUACGGACAUCUUGAGCUUCUAGUAGUGAAAAUGCUGGGAGAUCUCCUCACCUUUAAUUAAACAGUUGGGAUUUAAAUGAAACUUGGGAUCGGAUGGAGUUGGGUUUGCCAACUCAUCCUAUGCAAAUGUGUAGUAGUAGAAUAACAUCUUUUCUAAUAGGGAAAAACUAGCUUUAUGCAAAAAAUUAAACUUAGAGCUUUCCACCAGCCAAAUUGCAUGUACAAGUAGGUUCAUUACACUUAUGAUGUGACUUGCCAGUACAUUCAAUGUACUGACCUAUAUGGCUGCAACUUAUCACGUUGCAGAUAUAUCCGACGAGGAUUAAGGUGCUAUAGGUCGAUGUUCUACACUCAACCUUGCUCGUGGAGUUGGACUCAUUUACUACUUUGCUUCCGCAGUAUUUGUUUAUUGGCUCUAUGCCCUAUUUGGUAAUAAAUGUAUUGCUCCUGGACUAUCGAUGUAAUAAAGAGAUGUGUGUUAUUUCUGUUAUUUCAUCGAGUACUGUGUGUGCUAGCAAGUCGAUCCAGGGACUAGCACGGUAAGCACAGAGACUUCGACUCUUACCGAGUCGGGUCGCUACAGCUUUACUGAUUGUUUUUCCGCUCUUAAUCUUUUGUUGUCUAUAAGUCACCAUAUGCAGAAGAUAGAUAUAGUUGUGAAGAUAAUGAAAGCUUAAUAGUUUUGUAUGGUGAAGCAACCAUUUUAAGGACAACUGAUAAGGAAAAUUCGAAAAAGGAUUAGUAGUCCAGUGUUUGGUUACUAUGCAACUAUCUCCAGCUUGAGUAAAUGCACAUUGUUCAGUUCCAAGCCAUGUUUUGUAGACAUCUUCCUUUACAUUUGCUUUAUAAAAUGGUUUGUUGAUCUAGCCGAGGGCUUCACUUCAUUCAAUUCACUCUAUUUCAUUUACUAAGAUAAAAAUUCAAGUAGCUGCUCUUGCUAUGGUCAAUGGCUUACACAUGGUUUUUAUAGUGCACAAUGAGCGUUGCAAACCAUAAGAAAAACACAUUUUCUUGUUCUGUUCAGUGUGCCUUUUUACGCCAUACUCGGCCAAUAUAUAAAUGUUUUAUGUCCAAUUCAUAGACAUUCUUGACACCUAAGUGUGCUUGUGAGUCCCCUACAAAAAACCUCUCUCUCUCUCUCUCUCUCUCUAAUUAUCUCGAUUUGCCUUUGAGAUUGGAGAUGCGAGCACUAGCUGUUUGUAUAGAUGCACAAGGAGUGCUUAGGGGAGGACAAUAGCUUUCAGGUGUGUUUUCUUAGCACUAGCAGUACGAGAUGCCAAAUGUAAGUUAAGAAGCUUAUGAUUUGUGCCUUUUGUUCUUCACAUAAGUGUACAUGGAGGAUGUGAAAGCGACGACAGAGGAGCUUACUGUAGCUGCUUGCCUGCUCCGGGAAUCCCUCCUGACGAAGCAUGAUGCCAUGUCCUAGAGUAUGUUCAAGCAAUUCUAUGUAGCAGGGCCUUUUGUCCUAGAGUAUGUUCAUGUAUGUAUAUAUACUGACAAUUAUAUGUGACUGAUUAAUUAACUAAAACUUGAGAGGUGAAAAGGACAAGUGUUUUCAAAUGAAGGAAUAUAUUGUAUGUGCAGCUAAUUACAUACACAUAUGCAUCAGUCCAUAAUAGUUGAAAGUUUGGAUAUUAGGUAUAUGUUAAAGAGUAGGGAUCCUAACUGGGACGUGGCGAUUUGGUGCUCGGGCUCAGAUGAGCCCGAAAUCUGAGCUUUCCGCUGGUGCAUUGGGAUCAUAGAAAGUCUGACAUGCACGACAGAGUCCAAGCAGGGAAAAAUGCGUAUACGCGAUCUACAACCUCCUACAGUGCGCUCUUGUGGGCCUUUUUCGUAGCUCGCGGCGUCCAUCCGUUAGAAAUGGUCCGUGGGCCGUGGAACAAAACGCUAGAGAAAUAGGUCCAGGUCGUUUCGGCAAACCUGAGCUGUCCCAGCUAGCAUGGAAGUGGACGGCGGCCGAGGAAUAGUGAGACCGACCAGGGGUGGGCGGUACCCCGUGCAUAUGGCGUGUGCGGCGGCCGCUCCUUCUGCCGACCGCAUGGCGAUGGAAGCUUACGGGCUGGAAUUCCUCCUAGAUCCAGUAGAGUAGACUGGUGAGUUCCCCUAAGCCAGCACUGCUCCCUUAUCUGUUGGAUUCUAAUUUCUCUACAAACUUGUUCCCCUGCGAUCCACGGAAUCCAUCCCCUGCCCCCGCCGCCGGUGACUCAUUUCCUACCUGGCAGGUUUCCACUUAGGGAGGGGUCUGCGGACAGUUUGGAACACCCAAAUCCGGUGCCUUUAGCGCUGCUGCCGCGCCCCGAGGUCGAACUCCGGGCCUGGCUGUGGGGGACUGCAACCAUGGGAUAUCCGGAUGUGAGGUUCGGUGAAGGAAGAAUGCUUCACCGACACGGUCUGCACAGUCCACUGGGAAGGUGAAUCCGGAAGUAGGGUGGACGAAGAGGUAAUGCAGGCACAGUUCUUCUCAGUUCAAUGUGGCAAUCAUUUUUGCUAGGGAACUAAAGAUGCUCACAAGGCAGUGACGCAUUUGAUGUUCAGCACUGAUCCAGUGUGUUGGCGUACUGUGCUAAAUGUUUUAGAUUAGGUGAUUUCUGUAGAAUUGGAUUGCUCACGCACUGUUCGAAUUAAACCAUACGUGUGUUCAAAUUCAGGUUGAGGCUGGAAAGUGCACCGCCUGAUAGGACCCCGUAUGCGUCAUGGAUGAACGCCCUGAAACAAUCUAACCGACAAUUUUGUAGAAGAGCCUACUAAUGCUGGUGAAACCAGAUCAUGGUCUAUGUUUUGACUCAUUCGCUGAGGUUUAUGCCUUUUACAAGUUGUAUUCGUGGGAGGUUGGCUUUGGGGGUAUAGCAAGAGUAGACUGAAUGCUGAGGCAACCAAAUCAUUGCAGGAGAUCGUGUGUGACUGUUCAGUGAGACAUAAUGUUUUGUUGCUAAUUUUGGUUUUGACAAACAGUGUCCUUAGCAGAGGGAGUACCAUUGGUUACUUAUUUUGUGUUCUCAGUUACUCUUGUGCACACAAGUUCUGCAUCUUUCAGUUCUAAUUUUUAAGAACUGAGAAGAUUAUACCUCAGGUUCUUCAUGGCCGCUGAGAUUUUGAAAUCUUGGUUUUUAUUCUUGCUCUUCCGUUUCUUUGCUAAUCCGGCGCGUAUGCCUCUGUAAAUGCAAUUUGGGUUGCGAAUUGUCAACCCACCUGUCCUGAAACAAUUGAUGUUGUGGCUCGCGCGCCAGCUGUUCGACGCAAUUCUACUGUAGAAUUCAGUACCAUUUGGAGUUGUGCAGUUGAGUUUGGAUCAUCCCAAAGGCAAAUCAUGAGUUUCCAUUUCCUUUGUUACUAGUAGCGCUUACUGUUAGGCAUGGCAUUGACAGGCCUUAGUGUUAGCAAAUUCAUUGUUAACUUCUUGCAUGAUAGUUCCUUUUCCCAUAUCUGUUAAUUGGGGAUAAUGUACACUAUAUUAGCCAGUGCUGCUUAUCAAGGAAGCUGGGCUGGAUGUCUUCUCCAAACUCCCAUGUUGAUCACUUCCAGCCCACACUUGAAAAUGUAUUACUCACAAGUCACUUUGCCGACAUAUUUGUGGUUCAUUUUAUCUCCAGGAAUUAACUAAUGAUCAAUUGUUUUGUUGUUAUUCAGGAAGCAUGUCUUAAGUGAAAAUAGGCAUGGACAAGCUCCAUAUAUUUUAGUUUGACAAAACAACUUAGACGGAAAUACUAAAAUAAUAGCUUUUGAGGCAUCGCAACCAUUCAUUCAGCUUCUCAGUUAUUUGAAUGAGCUUUGGUGACCUUACCAGUGCAGACCUUCUAGCCAGAUUUGGGAUCGUAUGUGUGCUGCUGAUUUUCUUUAUUUCACUAUAAAAGUUGAAGCUUUUACUCUCCAUGUAUAACCAUUGUGACUUUGAUGUUAUAUGUAUGCACUGUAGAGUAUUGUAGAAGGAGAACUUUAAAGAAAGCUUUUAUAACAUGUUGCAGGAACAUCGCCUUGUGCAUUGCAAGAAGCUUGACCAUUGUAUUUUUGAUGAUGUUGGUAAGCUAUUAGUACUAAGAAAGAAAGGGAUUGAAGCGGUGAUAUUAUAUUUAGAAUGCGUAUACUUGCAAUUAAUGGAGCUAGUUCGGAUUGGAACGCCUCAGUGCCAUCUUAUGAUCUCGUGUUGGGUCGAAAGAAGGAUAUAAUAACGGAGGCAACACCGGUAGGUGAAACUGCAGAAUCAGCUCAUAAGAAAAUUACAGAGUCAGCCGCAGUGAGGCGGAUAUGAUGGAUAACGAGAACAACGUCACACUGUUGGGCAAUUGGCAUGCGCUAGCUGAUCUUGCAGCGCCAAUCAAGAUAAGGGGUGCUGGAAGACCAACAAUGAGUAGGGAGAAGGCGUCCUGUGAGGGUUUGAGUAAGCGGAAAAGGUUCUGCAGUAUCUGUAAACGCCCGGGGCACAAGCAGACUACAUGCCCAGAAAGUGAGGGGACUUGCCGAAGCAGCCUCGCAAGCCAGCAAGAUUCAAGUUGCAUUUUAGGAAAAUUAAGCUUGCAUGAAUAAAUUUGAGGAUUUUCUAGUGUACAAUUCGUACUGGAAAAAACGCACACUAAUAUUUUCAUAAGGAACUGUACUGUUUUUAUGAACUGAAUGUCAUUGUUUGUCUGUUUGGCAUGCGUGUUUGUAACAUUAUUCACGCUGUGUAUCCUAUAUGUUUGUUGUAUCCCUCACGAUGUGGUCUACUUUGUGCCCAUGGUGGUUCUUAGAUGAGCACAUAGUCAGUUAUUCG
rnacentral:lncRNA from 1 species